AAUAAAAACACAACACAUUUGUGAUGAUUCACUUUAAAAAAGAUAAGACAGUUAUUGACUUGUGUUGAAAUGAAAACUUCUCUUCUAUGACUCCAGGUGACACUAAAUUUGCAUACGCAACAACACAACAACUAUGAAAUUGAGUUAAGUUUACAGGAUAUCUCCGAGGCAGUUCUGGAACAAUAACUAUAUAAGUGGUGAUUUAAAUGCCAAGAAUCGGUGGAAUCAAGAAUCGACCAAUCUCUAGAUAGUACAGCAGAACCUCACUAGCUCGACACCCAGCAACUCGACAGUGAACAGC